GACGAACGCUGGCGGCGUGCUUAACACAUGCAAGUCGAACGGUGACCCAGGGCUUGCCCUGGUGAUCAGUGGCGAACGGGUGAGUAACACGUGGGCAACCUGCCCCCUGACUUCGGGAUAACUCCUCGAAAGAGGAGCUAAUACCGGAUACGACCACUUCGGACAUCCGAUGGUGGUGGAAAGUUUUUCGGUCAGGGAUGGGCCCGCGGCCUAUCAGCUAGUUGGUGGGGUAAUGGCCUACCAAGGCGACGACGGGUAGCCGGCCUGAGAGGGCGACCGGCCACACUGGGACUGAGACACGGCCCAGACUCCUACGGGAGGCAGCAGUGGGGAAUAUUGCGCAAUGGGCGAAAGCCUGACGCAGCGACGCCGCGUGAGGGAUGAAGGCCUUCGGGUUGUAACCUCUUUCUAGCAGGACGAAGCGAAAGUGACGGUACCGUGCAGAAGAAGCACCGGCGUAACUACGUGCCAGCAGCCGCGGUAA
rnacentral:rRNA from 1 species